rnacentral:tRNA from 1 species
GGUGGCUCAGUCGGUUGAGCGUCCGACUUCAGCUCAGGUCAUGAUCUCACGGUUUGUGGGUUCAAGCCCCACCC